AGCCUCCACAGUCUUUGGGAUUACAGGGCUCAAGGUGAUGCUGAACAUCAUGGCCAAAGAGUUUGUGAAGGGAAGUGGCUCAACACAUUACAAGAAAGCAGGAAGUGCCAUUUGCCAGAUACAAAAUAUAUAUACCCCAAAGUUUUCGGCAGACACACCAUCUUUGUAUGUGGUGCUGAGG